rnacentral:lncRNA from 7 species
CCCUUUGUCAGAGCCGGGGCUGCAGGGAGUGGAUGCAGAGAGGCAGGAGGGACUGUGGGGCCACGGAGCGCAGCCUUACCUUGGGGGAUCCGCUGCGGUGGUGGGAGGUCGGCACUGGCAUGGGCACGGACCGGCUUGGAAAGCCCCGGUACCGCGGGAGCAGUACGGGAUGCGGGGACAGACGUUGCAGUGGGAGUCCUCAUCUCAGGGCGGACUCCUUGGCUGCAUCCUCACCCCAGCUGCGUCCCCAGCCGAAGCUUGCUGCUCCUUGGGGCACACGGGAUGCUUUGCCCCAGGGAAAGCCCCACAGAGGCCGUUCCUUUCCGAGGGUAAGGAAAACACCACUGGAGGUUUGUCCUGGAAGAACCCCCCGGAUCCAAUCCACAGAGCAACACCUCCAGAAGGGAUUUCCCUGCGGUUCCCAAAGCACCCAGCGCCUCUCCUACCGCAUGUGGGUGCCUUCAGCUGUGCGCAUUUGGAAAGAGCACCUUAGGAGAGGGCACAGCCUCGAGCAGGGCUACCUGCACCAACCUUGUUCUCUGCAAAGCCCGGGGAAGGUUUGUUUUUCUCUCCUCCAUCAGCGCAGCGUGGAUGGAGCCAUGAGAGGGGACAGCGAUGUGAAGGACCCGGAGGGGGUUUUCUUUCCCUGAGAGCCUCUGUGUGAGGGGACGGCCGGGGCUGUGGGGUGAUGCAGGGCAGGAGCAGUGCAUCCUUCCUUUCCUCCUUCAGUGCUCAGCCCCACUCAUCCCACAGCACUUGGUGCACAGCAGCAGAAGGCUCCUUGCUUCAGUAAACCACCCAAAACAUC